UUUCGAUCUGAAGAUU
rnacentral:sRNA from 1 species